CUCCUUCAGCUCUCUCCUCAGUGGAUAUCCCCUUGGAGUCGGGUGUCACUCGCCCCACCCUGACGUCCUUCACCAGCAGGUCCUCAGCACGGCUCUAUCAGCCCCCCUCCAUCACCCAGUCCUGGUCUGGAGCAAAACGCAGGGAAUUUGCCUCAUGUCCACCAUGUUCAGUUCAUGCAAACCAGUGCAAACCAGUACCACCUGUUGGCAGGUAGAUUCAUGGUCGCCCUCCAGAUGCAGUUCCUCCAUCAGCCAAGGGCAUUGGGUCUGUAACAAACAGGGCUGGUAGUUGAGCAGUGGGUGGGAUUAUUCUUCGGACGCCUCUUUUAAACCAUUCUGAACCAAAGUACUGGCUUUUGCUGUAAAAUGUAGAGGAAUAGAAGACACUGCAAGUUAAAAAAAUAAAUAAGAACCAUGCACACACUUGAAAAUGUGUUAUGCAGGAGAAUGGUAGAACAUUCUGUGAAUUCAACAGCACACAUUUGAAAUUUGACUGUUAACAUUAUUCAAACAGUCUUCUGCCUCAGCUGAAACUCAAUAUUUAAAACAAACGAUAAAACUUGUAGAAUUCUUGUACCAGUAGCGUAGACUACUCUAGCCUUCACAUUGAGGGGUUAGAGUCUCAAUAAAACUUCACCGAUGGCUCCAUUAAGCCAAGGACGGUUUUCUCUAAAUCUGGCAUAUUAGAUGACGGCUGAAGUAACCGAUUUUAGAACAGAAACCGUUCAGUAGCAGUGAGUGAUAAUCAAUUUAGAGACUGGCUGCAUUCACCCCGACAUCAUUCUUAAGGCAGGGCCUCCACCACGGCUCCUCCGUCGGCUCUCGUCCACCACGGCUCCUCCGUCGGCUCUCGUCCACCACGGCUCCUCCGUCGGCUCUCGUCCACCACGGCUCCUCCGUCGGCUCUCGUCCACCACGGCUCCUCCGUCGGCUCUCGUCCACCACGGCUCCUCCGUCGGCUCUCGCCCACCACGGCUCCUCCGUCGGCUCUCGCCCACCACGGCUCC
ensembl:lncRNA